rnacentral:rRNA from 1 species
AUUGAACGCUGGCGGCAUGCUUUACAUAUGCAAGUCGAACGGUAACAGGUUAAGCUGACGAGUGGCGAACGGGUGAGUAAUGCAUCGGAACGUGCCCGAUCGUGGGGGAUAACGCAGCGAAAGCUGCGCUAAUACCGCAUACGAUCUGAGGAUGAAAGCGGGGGACCGUAAGGCCUCGCGCGAUCGGAGCGGCCGAUGUCAGAUUAGGUAGUUGGUGGGGUAAAGGCUCACCAAGCCGACGAUCUGUAGCUGGUCUGAGAGGACGACCAGCCACACUGGGACUGAGACACGGCCCAGACUCCUACGGGAGGCAGCAGUGGGGAAUUUUGGACAAUGGGCGCAAGCCUGAUCCAGCAAUGCCGCGUGCAGGAAGAAGGCCUUCGGGUUGUAAACUGCUUUUGUACGGAGCGAAAAGGCUCUCUCUAAUACAGGGGGCUCAUGACGGUACCGUAAGAAUAAGCACCGGCUAACUACGUG